GGGGUGGUGGCGGAGGAAGGGCAGCGCUGCCUUUGAAAUGGCAAAGGCUUUCUUUCCCUCACCUUCUGAUUGGGCUCAGCUGUUCCACAGCCUCACGCCCAGCAGUGUGGGCGGCAGUGGGCCGCAACAUCGAAGGCCACCUAUCUCUUCUGUCUCUGAUCUACAAUGAGUGCCAAAUCUGCUAUCAGCAAAGAAAUCUUCGCUCCACAUGAUGAAAGGAUGUUGGGAGCAGUCCAAGUAAAAAGAAGAACUAAGAAAAAGAUUCCUUUUCUGGCAACUGGAGGUCAGGGUGAAUAUCUAACCUACAUCUGCUUGUCAGCUGACUCAUCUACAGGGAUUUGAUUUGUUGGACUGGUGAAGCCAAAGGUGGCUGGACGUCACACUGUUGAUAACAUUUCCCUUGUAUGCCCUGUGUGAAGAAGUCCGUAUCUUUUUUGCCUCAAAGCUUAGUGCAGUGAAGAGUGACUAGAGAGCAGGAAUCUAUAUUGACUGCAUAGAGUUUUAAGUCCUUCCUAGUUAGAGCAGCGGGAUGGGGAAAUAGUUGAGCAAUUUGGCAGGUCAGGAGACAAGAGACUAAUAUAAAGAAUAUUUAUUCAUGUGCAAUAAAUAGAGUAAUACAAUUAAAAUAAGUGGAAGGGGAGGGAACAGCUUUGUUUAUGAUGUUUGUUUUAGAAGCAACUGUGGUGAUCUGAGGACACUUUUCUGCCCCUGAAGGAGUGCCAUAAUUAAAUAAAAACCCUCGGCAAUAGUCAAAAGUCCACUAGUAGUUUCUCCAAAAAAAACCAAAAAACAUUUUUAUUUGUAAAGAAUAUUAAGCAGAGCACAUGUGAGUAGAGAGCUGCUGCUUAUUUAAAAAUGUGAACUGCUUUUCUAGGGCCUUCCAGAAGAGAAAAUUCACUUCUUUUAUAGACAGAAAAAAAUUAGUUGAGCAUAUGGAUCAAAGGUUUUCAAAACAACAGUAACAGACAGUCAAAAUGUAUUAGGUACAAAGUUGUGUUACACCUAAAUAUCAGCACUGUUAUUUCAGUCAACAUAGCCAUGCAUUUCUUUGUAAAAUUAGUCCACAUAUAGUCCACAUUAUCCAAGCAGAAAUUACAUGCUGUACAAAGUCUGUCUGAACAAAUA
rnacentral:lncRNA from 11 species